AGCUGAAGUUCUGACCACAGACAGAGCGCUGAUCUACUGAUUGGCUGAAUCAGAUAAAUUCAUUUAACAGUUCAUUUAAUCGGCUGUUACAUCAGGUUGUCAUGGCUGAUUGGUCCACACACCAAAACAAGAUGCCAGUCGUCAUCCAGCUAACAACAGAAAUAACUAUUUCAUAAAAAUAUAGUCUCUAAUCAUCACAGGUGACCUUGAAGGAUUGGAUAGGGACUGUCUCUGAUCUUCUUUGUGGGGUAGAAAUUCCUGGGUGUUACAGAAACACACAGACUUUAUUCCACAGAAGUUGCAGGUCUCACAAAGCCAUUGGAUUUUACCUUUAGUCCCUACAUCAAGCUGUUUUUAGAGCUGAUACUGUGAGCACAAAAUAUCAAUCAUACGUGACACUUUUGAGGGGAAUCAUGAGCCCCCUUUUGAAGAAUGACACUAGAGAUUAAGAAAAACGUCAUAACAAACAAGAGAGCUAAAGUGGGUUGGAUUAGCUAGUUCAGAUGACUUCCUCCAUCUUUGGAAAGUAAGUCAGGGUAAUUGAUAGCUGAGAUAAUGCACUAAGUGCAACUAUAAAGAUCAGAAGACCCUUUUGUGAAUCGCCCUUUUUACAAAAACAUGACAAGACAUAACUUUACAGCAAAUCAUCUUAUUCUGCAGCUAAGAUGUAUCAGUGUCGACUGAAAGAGUUAUGUGGUACUCAAAAUGGUUUAAUAAUUUAGGUGAUGAGGGCAAAUAAUAACAAAACAACUUGGAAAAUAAAGAAAUUUUAAACAGUAGGAAUUUAAAAAAGGUCAUAAUUAUAGUUACAGUAGUUUGUUGGUGUUUGGACAGCUAUAAUUUAUGAUAGAUAUACUGAAGCUUUUUCUCCCACAGCAGAUUUUAAAAAGCAGGCCUGUUCAUUUUUUGUCAGCUUUUGAAGUGAAGACAAACAAAGUAGGAUUAUCAGGCCACUGGUUUCCCAUCCCAAAUGUCUUAUCGUGGUGGGAAGAAACUCUGAGAUGUGAAUGCACGUCCCUCUGGUCACCUGUAAUUGCCAAGAUAAAAAUCUCUCAGUCCCACAUCAAAUGAGCUUCCCACCUCAUCCCAGCUGCUUUCCUGUCUCUUCCUCUUCAUCUUCUUCCCGUUUAAACCAAUCAGGGAAGAGAAUCAGGGAAGGGAAGCUGCGAAAAAGACAGCAGCUGUACGGCAGAGUGGAGGGUCAUAAAACGCAGAAGGCCAAAAGAGGAAGUCAAGGGACCUGGUGAGUUAUUGCCCCCCAAACGUACACACCGGGUCCUGGGAACGCAGAGCUUCUCACGGGGGGUAAAUGUGUGUAGUGUUUUCCACUGGUUAAGGCGUACCCUCCGCUCUGUGUACUCUUUAUCACCUCGCCGCAGUCAUAUGAUGAACCCUCACACCUUUAAGUCAUAAUACUCAAAUGUCAUAAUAUGGCAUGUGCAUAUUUGAAAAGGGGUUGACCUUUAACUCCAUAGUAAAACUAAUGCAAUAGACUCGUUUUUUUCCCAUCAACACAUAUAUGCACACUUCAUACUGAGUGUUUUUAGGUUUAAAAUAUGAUGUAAAUGUCUCUGAUUGAUACUACAUUCAAUUCUAGAUAUUAUGUAAAUAUUUAACUUAAAAAAUGACUCUCAUUUCCCCGCUAUCACCCUUUCUCCAGACACAUGACACCAUCUGUGUAUUAAUAGUGUCAUAUCUGACACACAAGGACGCACACACAAUGCAGAGAAGUGCCUGUGAGAAAGUGAGGCUCAAGUGUGAAUUCCAGCCAUGCCUAUCUUUUAGCAGCUUGUAAAUUUAUGAUACAAUUAACCCUGGAAGAUAUGCCAAGCGCCCUCGCUUUCUGCUCUGUGUGACUUUCAGCUAAACACAAAAAUAUGCAAAGAGAAACAAACUCCGCUCAAAUGUUUUCUAAAGUGAGCGUGGAGAAAAUGCAAAAUGCGGCUCAAACAGGCUGAACCGGGUUUUUUUCUUUUCUCACCAUGUCAGACCACUGAAACACAUCAAGGUGGGGGAAAACCUUUGAGAGAGUAGAAAUGAACAAAUUUAUUGAAUUUCAUUUCGUCUUUAUUAAAGCAUUUCACAGGAGAGAGAGUGCUGCUGAAGCGUUUAGUUCUGCUGUAAUUCAGUGAUAGACCUGCAGAGAUGAUGAACAUAAUGACAAACAGCUCGACCUUCAGACUGAUAUUGCUUUUACAGAACAGCUCUACACAGACUGAAAAGUAAUGGACAGUACUCAGUGGCUAUGUUUUUGCCUAUAUAAACAUUUGUCUGUCUCUGACAACUCAACCAGUUCAGCAGUUUGACUGGAACUGGACAGCUGCCAAGUAACCCAAAGACUUUCACGUACUUUUCUUCUCUUUGUAUCAGCAUGUUAUGACAUACACUAGUCUGUAUAUUUCCAUUUAUCACACAACCGGUAAAAUAAAAGUCAGUUGAUGAGUGCGUAACUCAAUUCCAACCAACUUAAGAGCACCUUUCAUACAGAAAAACCUGUCGCUCAAAGUCAUUCACAAAAACAAACAAACAAACAAACAAAACAAAACAAGCAAAAAAGAAACACACACCAAAUAACUGAAGCUGAUAUACUCAAUUAUAAAAGAAAGGAGGUGGUCAUAAAAACAAAAAUAUGGGGUGCCAAUUUGGCUUUGCGGUCUGCGUCCCAUGUCCUCAAAAGAGGGGGUGUGGGUUUGACCCCAAGCUGAGGCCCCUAGCUGAAUGUCAUUCCCCUCUCUUACAUCCCAGUUUCCUACUUUAUACACUGCAGUAUCCUUGUAAUGAGGGUGUAAAUAAGCCUAAAGAGUAAACUUACAAAACACUAAUUUAUUUUAAUCGAUUAAAUGAAUUAAAAUCAUUAAAAAGAAGAUUAAGACAAAUUUUAAAAAGUGAUUAAAUCAUGAUUAAAACAUUGAUCAUGCCUAUAAAAGAAUGCCAGAUUACAGCGGCAGUAAGGAACUUUUGGUUUGUUCUGGUUAUGUCACCUCCUGUUGGCAAAGACUUAGAACUUUUUACCACUUUGCUGAUCGUGUCUGAACAUGCCAAAGUAUUAUUGUCAAAAAAUGCACUCUACUUUUUUUCAACAGUCAAGUAUACCUUUUGCUGUAAAUAUUUGCUGUUGCAUGUUAUUUGUCAGCUUAUGAUGCCCUCUCACAGUGUUCAUAGGCCUGAAGUAGUCUGUCUUGUUGCUGAUAGUCAUGUUUGCUUUGUAGGUCAUAAAAAGGCAUUGAUAUUCAAUUCACUUUAUUUUAAAACUAGCUGAAGAAUAUUUGGUUUCCUUUAACAGAAACUUGCUUUAACAACAUGUGUGAUCUAUUGUCUAUGUAUGGGCUGUUGGACCCUUGUAAUGUGGCGAUCAAUAUGGGAAGUAAAAAGGGUGGAGGAUGGUUUGCCAUGACACAUAAAUACGUGGGCAAUCUAGCAAUGAGUUUAUAAAUGAAAAACAGGUGCAGUCAGUGAUCCAUUCACUGGUUCAAAAUACUCAUUUCUUGUAUCGCAAGUUGCUGACCCAUUUGUAAACCAUUGCAAAAAAAUGUGACAGAAACUCUCGUUGAAAGUUUUUUAUCACUCACUGUGAGAAACAACAGACCUGAAAAGUUCACUAUUCCCCCAAAAAGCUAUCAGAUGAUGGCCAGUGGGAUCUAAGAUUGCCACAACUUUAAAUGAUCUGAAAGCCCCUGUGUUGAGUAAAAAGUCCUGAAACCCCAAAUUAACCAAUCAUGUACUUUCAUGCAGCUAUAACCCAAGAAGUGCUUUUUAAUAGUGUUCAUGUUGUGUGUUUAUAUUUCUUGUAGUUACUAAUGAUCACAGAUAUACUCCUCUUUGUUCAUCCAUCAGUGUACAUGAGGGCACCUAGGAUGACUUCAGGUGGGAGUAAGCAGAGGGUCACUAGGGGUGUUUAUGUAUCCAGAACUCCCUUGACCAAAUCAGCCUCAUCAGCUCCCACUGUCUGAACAUACAUCCACUCUUAAAACAGCUGAAAAUAACUGCAGUCAUGUGGUCCAAGAUAUUUUUCUCCAAUGCAAAGUCAUUUAAAAAGUCAUUAGUCCGUCCACCAAGUUCUCACAGAUCUGCGUUUAUGCUCCAUACAUGAAUCAUAUGGUGAAAUUAUGGUCACAGUGUGGUGUGGCGCCUGUAAUUUGGUCAGUAAUGUUUCCAUAUUAAAUCGCAUCUACCGAAAUAUUUGUCACUUCAUUGCUCUUCUGUGAAAAUAUGUUGUUUUAAAAAUAGGAGAGUUUCAGCUUGUUUACAUGUUUUUGGAUUCAUAAAUUACAUAUUUAUUCCCUCUGGAGCUUUACUUUCGCCCUUCCUUAAAGACGGUAAACCUAUACUUACCCCUGCGGCACAUUUGAAAGGAAUGAGAACUGUUUGCACUUUGCAAAUCAUAAUUGUGCAUGCAUGAGUGCAUCCCUCUGUGUGUGUAUGUGUGUGCAUGUUUAUUUUCUGACUUUAAAAUCCUGUCAAGGUAAAAUCUGUGUCCUUGUGAAUGACCCCAGUAUGACUUGGGGGCACAACAAACUCCCAGGUUUCCUUGUGUUUCUAGGUUAGGGAUUAGAUUUUCUGUGAUCUAAUCCUAACUGUACAUUAUGAGCGAUAAUUCUAGUGUUCAAGGCUUAAGUUGGAGUUAGGCUUAAUCCUCUAUUUGUCUCAAAGUUGAAUGUGACCGAGGGAGCUGGAAAGAUGUUAAUGUGUGUUUGCAUACAUGUGCGUGAGGAGUAUAAACCUUGCAGAACCCAGAUCACACUGCUGGGGCCGUUAUUUUCCCACAGUGCAAUAAAAAUAGCCUGCUAGUGUGGGGUGACAGUGGGCAGGCUGGGGCGCUCGAGGGAGGAUCCCAUCCACACACAACAGCACAUUCCUGUCCACCUGGCCCUGCCAGAGCCUGAGGUCACCUUACAGGAUGUGUUCACACUCACACAUACACACAUCCCUUCCUUCUCCUCCUGCGACUCACACCUUUCCUUCAUCACCUGUUUCUUCACCUCUCUGCCAGCCCCUCCUUCCCUCAUCAGACAGGGACCCCUGGCUGAGGCCUCCGCCCACAUGGUCACAUCAGGCCCUCUCGCUCACUCUCGCUCUCCACCUCUAUCUGUGGUGUGUUUUUUUUUAUAUACUGUGUGAAAUAUGAACAUAGUCUUGAUGGCGUCACCCACUGGUAUCUGAAGAGGCGUCAUGAAGCACAACAGUGGUGCCAAAUUGGAAAUGUUGAUUUAAUUUAACACCUCUAGGAACCUACGUUAAUCAAAAUGGAUGAAUUCGGAACAAUAGCCUCUCGUGCAGUUGCUAGAAACAAAGAUAAACCAAAAUAAUUUUUGCACCAGGCUACAAACACGUCUAAUCCUGCUUUAAAAAAGGCUUUAUAACAUGUUGUCUAAUGGGUGCCUUUUUGGAGUCAGCCUCGAGUUGACAUUUGAGAAACCACAGUUUUCUGACUUCUGCUUUGGGUUAUUUUCAAGCACUAGAGGUUACUGUUGUUCCUCACUAUAUUAAAAUAAAGAAAUAAGUGGCUUUAAAAAAAAUCUUGCACAGGUAUGUUUACACUUUCCCAAAAUGAUCCCAUGUGUAACCAAGUAAAUGAUUACACUGAUUUAGUGUCCAUUUUGUGUGCUUUUGAAAAAUUACGCCUGCAUUAUCUGCCUCAGUGUUGACCCACGGCUCAUAUAAACUCGAGUUCACACAGGAAAAUGAUUUAGUGAGAUUAGAUACUUGAAAAGCCCUCUACCACCUCAGCUCUCCUUGCUGUAAAUUAGACACCAUGUGUUUGCUCAUCUUGGUGACCCAGCUCCGGCGGCUAAAAUAUCAGUGUUGAUUUUUGUUUCAAGGAGAUAUGAAACCCAACUAAUCUGAUAUGCUCUUGUCUAUUAAAUACUGAAGUUACUUGUCAUCAACAGGGCAUAACACCAACUUCCAAAGCACUUCUCCUGAAUUGAUUAAAACUUUAAAUACAUUUACAAGUCAUUUAGCCUUAUACAAGUUAAAUAUGUAAAGCUGGUCUGUUUCUUUUGCAGCAGUCACAACAGGUCAGAGAAAAUGGAGGUGAUAAUUGACCCUAAAUAUACCCGUUAGCUUCCUCUCCCACAGAUCUGCUUACACGGUACAGUCCACAUUAGACAGACGAUGCUUCCGGCACAACAUGUGCCAGAGUCUCCAAGAGGGCACAUGGGGGCAUCAGCACUUCACACCCAAUGAUCCCCGUUCAUGCAUGCUCACCUCAGCGAAGCCAGCACAAGAUGCCUGCGAGUCAACUCUAAACAAAACCUGAUAUCAGUGAGGCGUUCAGUGCUGCAUGAAAGGUUAAAAGUGCAAAAUGGUGCUAGAAAUAGGAAUUUAACAGUCUCUGGAACCACAACAAAGAAUUCCGAACCACUAGACAAGCCCUGCCACAGUUUAUGCACAACAACUUAUGCUGGUAAAUCAGCCCCUGCUAUUACUAAUUAUAGAAGGCAUCAUAUAUACACUUGCCAUCUCAGAAUGUAAAGGCCGUGUGACUUCUUAAAUGACAGAUGCUGGUUUGGUUUCCCAUGGCUAUCACGCUAGGAGAUGGUGUGUUUAUGGUUAAGGGGAGUGUACCAGAACACACACACACUCUAGUGUAAUAAGUCAUUACGAUCUGCCCCUUGGAAACACAGUGUUGCGCAGAUAAAUCUUCUGGCUGACAGCUGGAGUCCCCCUGAUGGAUUAGUUUCAAAUCAGUGUGAAAAGUCAAAAGAAGGCAAAUGGGUGUCUCUCCCACUAGUAUGGCAGAGAUCUACAGCCCAGAUCCAGGUCCAGUUCUACUACAAAUAUAGGGUAUAAAAAAUGCUUAUGCAGUAGACUGGGGCAGAUCCUGGCCCAUCUGGGUCACUCAGUAUGUUAACAUGUUGUUAAGAAAAGGGAUUUUAUGGCCUUAGUCUGACUGAAAGUGGACUUUAAAAACAUGUAACCACAUUCGUUCCACUGGAAUUGCACUUAAGAGAACUUCUCAUAGUCUCAUUGAUAUACCCGGAUAAUGUGGUUGUGGAUCGAUUCUCUCUGUCAAUUAUACAGCUCUAUUGAACUGAAACUGACCUAAAUGUUCUGCACAUGCUCCAGUGUUCACCAGAAGUUGAACCAUAGCUUGACUUAAUUGUGCAUGUAAACAUACUGACUGACUUGUCCAGGGGUUAGCAUGGAUUCGUAAGCACACACCUGACUUUACUUAAAGUAUUUGAUAUUGAAAUAAGUUCUGCCUCUGACAAGGUAACCAGAUUUAGUGCAGGGUUUUUUUGUCUGCACCUGGGGCGGGUGAUCAAAUUUCAAGGGGGCCCAUGCCACCCAUAUGGAUCUGCCCCUGGCUGAUGAUCCAAAAUGUGUUGUAUCAAAGUCUUGCUUACACAAAGACUUUAGUUACAGAAAAUAAUUAUUUAGGUUGGUAUUUAAAAAAUGCUUCUCACAGAUUUGAGUUUUGGCUGCAGAUAGAUUUAAAACAACAUGAUGUUCUAGGGACUUAAAGCACCACUAAAAUGAUCUCAAACAGUUUCAGAUACGUAGAAGAAGUCUUUCAUCAGCGCAAUAGCAAAGGGGAACUAAUCAGUGUUUCUGCUCACGAGGCAGAUCCACGCCCUUUCUCACCCCACAUUUCCUGAACUUUAGAGGCCAACAUCUGGAGUGACAUCAUAAGGAAAACAGCGCUGCAGAAAGAGUAAUCCUCAGCCCUGAUUUACCCCAUUACUAUUUGCUCAUAUGAUCGUGGCUUUAUAAGGUAUGAGCAGAAUACUGAGAUUAAUCUGAAUUGAUAACUUUUGUUUCCUGGUGACAACAGAGGAAGAAGAGCGUCUGUGACACUGGAUAGAUGUUUCUUGGGGACAGAUAAAAGACAAGGAAACACAAAGAGAGGUUAAUCAGCAAAAUCAGCAUCUCACCAAAUGCCUGAGCUGCAUUUGUUAUGGUGCCAGCACCUGACACCCAACCAAGCAUGGACAGCGAGAGCUUGACAUUGGCCACAGCAACAAAAGCUUUGUCAGUACAGACCCCUGAAGAGUUCAAUUUGCUCCCCCCAUUUCGAGGCCUUUCAGCAGGGUUGAAUAGAGGACAGAGGGUUGGUUGCAGCAGCAGGAGGCUCAGCAAUGUUUCUCUAACGGGGUGGAAAGACAAACAAAUCACAGGAAUGAGACAAGGCCUUGUUAUUGUGAUGAGCCUGUGAUUAACACCUGGAUCAUUCCAGCUGAUAAUGGAUAAUUAGUUUGAGAUUACUUUGAUGGUUUUGUGGGGCUGUUUCAGUCUGUGGCUGAUUGAAAGGGUUUAAAGGGCAGCAUUGGGGUCCUGUUGUGUUUUGGAUGUAAGCACUAAUUCAAGACUUCCUCUCCUGAAAAAUAAUUGAAAGGACGAUUGUGUGACAUGUGCCCCCCCUUUUGUUUGCUAAUGAAAAAGUUUCUUGUAGUAGUAGUAGUAGUAGUUGUUGUUUAUUCAGUCAUGAAAACACCAAAUAUUGUACACAAUAUUGACAUUUCACACAAAAUCCACUAAAUCAAGCAGACUGCUUAUAAAAGCCUAUCCUGUGUCGUCAACUUUUUAGGCUACUGACCUCCAGGAAAGCAAAGAAACCACAACAACAGAUAAUUAAUCGCACUUAUAAGCUUCAAAAAUAAGCUUUACAAACCAUUUUCUUAAAAACACACAAAAAAAAGAGUGACAUGUUUUGAGAUUUAUGUUGGCAUCCUUCCAGAAUUGAACUCCAGUAAUGGAGACACAUCUCCUUUUCAUACCUUUUUAAGCUUUUUCUAUGUAAAUUUGCAAGCACCUCUGA